AUUGAACGCUGGCGGCAGGCCUAACACAUGCAAGUCGAACGAGUGGCGGACGGGUGAGUAAUGUCUAGGCAACUGCCCGAUGGAGGGGGAUAACUACUGGACACGGUGGCUAAUACCGCAUACCAUCGGAUGUGCCCAGAUGGGAUUAGCUUGUAGGGGGGGUAACGGCUCACAUAGGCGACGAUCCCUAGCUGGUCUGAGAGGAUGAACGGCCAAACUGGAACUGAGACACGGGCCAGACUCCUACGGGAGGCAGCAGUGGGGAAUAUUGCACAAUGGGCGCAAGCAUGAUGCAGCCAUGCCGCGUGUAUGAAGAAGGCGUUCGGGUUGUAAAGUACUUUCAGCGAUGAGGCGUUACUCGCAGAAGAAGCACCGGCUAACUCCGUGCCAGCAGCCGCGGUAAUAC
rnacentral:rRNA from 1 species